GGCGGGCGGGCCGGUGCUCAGCUAGGGCUCAUACCUCUGGCACGGCGGGUUCGACUCCCGCGCCCGCGACCA
rnacentral:tRNA from 1 species